CCUACGGGUGGCAGCAGUGGGGAAUAUUGGACAAUGGGGGGAACCCUGAUCCAGCGACGCCGCGUGAGUGAAGAAGUAUUUCGGUAUGUAACGCUCUAUCAGCAGGGACGAAAGAAAUGACGGUACCUGACUAAGAAGCCCCGGCUAACUACGUGCCAGCAGCCGCGGUAAUACGCAGGGGGCAAGCGUUAUCCGGAUUUACUGGGUGUAAAGGGAGCGUAGACGGCGAUGCAAGUCUGAAGUGAAAGGCGGGGGCCCAACCUCCGGACUGCUUUGGAAACUGUAUGGCUGGAGUGCAGGAGAGGUAAGUGGAAUUCCUAGUGUAGCGGUGAAAUGCGUAGAUAUUAGGAGGAACACCAGUGGCGAAGGCGGCUUACUGGACUGUAACUGACGUUGAGGCUCGAAAGCGUGGGGAGCAAACAGGAGUAGAUACCCGAGUAGUC
rnacentral:rRNA from 1 species